rnacentral:rRNA from 1 species
UACGGGGGGGGCAAGCGUUGUUCGGAAUUACUGGGCGUAAAGGGCUCGUAGGUGGCCAACUAAGUCAGACGUGAAAUCCCUCGGCUUAACCGGGGAACUGCGUCUGAUACUGGAUGGCUUGAAUCCGGGAGAGGGAUGCGGAAUUCCAGGUGUAGCGGUGAAAUGCGUAGAUAUCGGAAGGAACAUCAGUGGCGAAAGCGACUUCCUGGACCAGUACCGACGUUCAGGCACGAAAGCGUGGGGAGCAAACAGG